GGAGGAGUACGUCUCUCUCUCUCUCUCUCUCUCUCUCUCUCUCUCGCUCGUUUCGAGAAUUCGUUUUAUCAGAUUUAUCGAGUAUUUGCUCUCCCGGUGUAUGCAAAACCGGAAAUCGUCCGAGUUUAUCUCGAUAAAUAAGCCGCGAGUGACCCAAUAACAUUAGCGAUCAUAUCCAUAUGAUAUUUUCGACGCGAAUAAGUUUAGUAGAUGGAGGAGGGCUCGUCGAACUGUGUUUGAAAAUGCAAGCGUGAAUGGCUUUACCCACCUUUAUAUCCCCAAAAUAGCCUCGUUGUCGGCGGGGAGGAAGAGAGAGCGCGUGUUCGAGCCGGCGUGGUGUGAGGGAGAUAUUGAAUUUGUAUCGACAAACACCUAUUGGCAAUCGAUCGAUCCCGAGGGGAUCGAUUUUCCUUUCCCUUCUCUCCCUUCACUCGAUGGAUGGUGCACAGCCGUCUUGGAAAAGGGAGGGAGGGAGGGAAAAAAAAAAAUGUCUUCCUCCUACGUUUCCGUCGAUAACGCUAUUAAGGAGAAUCCGAUACUUCGUAUUACGGUGAAUCGAUUUUCAAGCUUUUGGCUCGUCUUCUCCCGCGAAAAGCAAAUAUUGCGAGAUAAACUCGGAAUCGCGAGUAAAUUAUCGUUUCGAUUUUUUUCCUUUUUUUUUUUAAGCGAAUCUCUCUCUCUCUCUCUUCUUUUUUCAUUUUAAUUCGUGUUAAUUCGUGUUUUGUAAAUGUCGAUCGGUUAAAACCGACUUAAAAAUCGCAACAUUUAAGCAGAUUAAAAAUUUAUUACUUAUCUUUUAUGGUUCGUGUUUCCUGUUCGUACAAUUUGUAUAAUGAUAAUGUUAUAUGUGUUUCGAG